rnacentral:rRNA from 1 species
UACGUAGGGUGCAAGCGUUGUCCGGAAUUAUUGGGCGUAAAGAGCUCGUAGGCGGUUUGUCGCGUCGGCUGUGAAAACUCAGGGCUUAACCCUGAGCUUGCAGUGGGUACGGGCAGACUAGAGUGCGGUAGGGGAGACUGGAAUUCCUGGUGUAGCGGUGAAAUGCGCAGAUAUUAGGAAGAACACCGGUGGCGAAGGCGACAUCCUGGACCGGUAUUGACGCUGAGGCGCGAAAGCCAGGGGAGCAAACGGG